rnacentral:rRNA from 1 species
UAGACGUAGGAGGAUGGAGCGUCGGUAAUAGGUGUGGUGCGUGGAUUAAGCAGAAGUACUGGGAGGAAAGCUGGCGCAAGCGUCGUCCUAAGUCAGAGGGGAAAGCCCCGGGCUUAACCUGGGAAUGGCGUUUGAGACUGGGUGGCUAGAGUGCGGCAGGGGGGGGUGGAAUUCCACGUGUAGCAGUGAAAUGCGGAGAGAGGUGGAGGAACACCGAUGGCGAAGGCAGCCCCCUGUGCCAGCACUGACGCUCAUGCACGAAAGCGUGGGGAGCAAACAGGAUUAGAUACCCCUGUAGUC